rnacentral:rRNA from 1 species
GACGGAGGGGGCAAGCGUUGUCCGGACUCACUGGGCGUAAAGGGUGCGUAGGCGGUUGCGUGCGUCGGCGCUGAAAUCCCUGGGCUUAACCCAGGGGCGCGUGCCGAUACGAUGCGACUUGAGGCUCGGAGAGGGUGGUAGAACUCCUGGUGUAGUGGUGAAAUGCGUAGAUAUCAAGAGGAACACCAGAGGCGAAGGCGGAUUGCUGGGCUGACACUGACGCUGAGGCGCGAAAGCUAGGGUAGCAAACGGG